rnacentral:rRNA from 1 species
UACGUAGGGUGCGAGCGUUAAUCGGAAUUACUGGGCGUAAAGCGUGCGCAGGCGGUUCGCCAAGUCAGGUGUGAAAUCCCCGGGCUUAACCUGGGAAUUGCGCUUGAAACUAGCGGGCUUGAGUGUGGGCAGAGGGGGGUGGAAUUCCACGUGUAGCAGUGAAAUGCGUAGAGAUGUGGAGGAACACCGAUGGCGAAGGCAGCCCCCUGGGUCAACACUGACGCUCAUGCACGAAAGCGUGGGGAGCAAACAGG